rnacentral:rRNA from 1 species
CGGUGCUGAAGCAACAAAUGCCCUGCUUCCAGGAAAAGCCUCUAAGCAUCAGGUAACAUCAAAUCGUACCCCAAACCGACACAGGUGGUCAGGUAGAGAAUACCAAGGCGCUUGAGAGAACUCGGGUGAAGGAACUAGGCAAAAUGGUGCCGUAACUUCGGGAGAAGGCACGCUGAUAUGUAGGUGAAGUCCCUCGCGGAUGGAGCUGAAAUCAGUCGAAGAUACCAGCUGGCUGCAACUGUUUAUUAAAAACACAGCACUGUGCAAACACGAAAGUGGACGUAUACGGUGUGACGCCUGCCCGGUGCCGGAAGGUUAAUUGAUGGGGUCAGCGCAAGCGAAGCUCUUGAUCGAAGCCCCGGUAAACGGCGGCCGUAACUAUAACGGUCCUAAGGUAGCGAAAUUCCUUGUCGGGUAAGUUCCGACCUGCACGAAUGGCGUAAUGAUGGCCAGGCUGUCUCCACCCGAGACUCAGUGAAAUUGAACUCGCUGUGAAGAUGCAGUGUACCCGCGGCAAGACGGAAAGACCCCGUGAACCUUUACUAUAGCUUGACACUGAACAUUGAGCCUUGAUGUGUAGGAUAGGUGGGAGGCUUUGAAGUGUGGACGCCAGUCUGCAUGGAGCCGACCUUGAAAUACCACCCUUUAAUGUUUGAUGUUCUAACGUUGACCCGUAAUCCGGGUUGCGGACAGUGUCUGGUGGGUAGUUUGACUGGGGCGGUCUCCUCCUAAAGAGUAACGGAGGAGCACGAAGGUUGGCUAAUCCUGGUCGGACAUCAGGAGGUUAGUGCAAUGGCAUAAGCCAGCUUGACUGCGAGCGUGACGGCGCGAGCAGGUGCGAAAGCAGGUCAUAGUGAUCCGGUGGUUCUGAAUGGAAGGGCCAUCGCUCAACGGAUAAAAGGUACUCCGGGGAUAACAGGCUGAUACCGCCCAAGAGUUCAUAUCGACGGCGGUGUUUGGCACCUCGAUGUCGGCUCAUCACAUCCUGGGGCUGAAGUAGGUCCCAAGGGUAUGGCUGUUCGCCAUUUAAAGUGGUACGCGAGCUGGGUUUAGAACGUCGUGAGACAGUUCGGUCCCUAUCUGCCGUGGGCGCUGGAGAACUGAGGGGGGCUGCUCCUAGUACGAGAGGACCGGAGUGGACGCAUCACUGGUGUUCGGGUUGUCAUGCCAAUGGCACUGCCCGGUAGCUAAAUGCGGAAGAGAUAAGUGCUGAAAGCAUCUAAGCACGAAACUUGCC